rnacentral:rRNA from 1 species
UACGUAGGGUGCGAGCGUUAAUCGGAAUUACUGGGCGUAAAGCGUGCGUAGGCGGUUUCAUAAGCUUGAUGUGAAAGCCCCGGGCUCAACCUGGGAAUGGCAUUGAGGACUGUGGAGCUAGAGUGCGGGAGAGGAGAAUGGAAUUCCUGGUGUAGCGGUGAAAUGCGCAGAUAUCAGGAAGAACACCCGUGGCGAAGGCGGUUCUCUGGAACGCAACUGACGCUGAGACGCGAAAGCGUGGGGAGCAAACAGG